rfam:Bacillus lehensis G1, complete genome.
UAAAGCAAGAAGAAGCACCCGCUUCUCACCUGUUGACAACGGUUGUCAGGUUAGAAAUCGUCAGUUUUUAUUUAAUGAGCUGAUUAAAUGUGGGUGCCGUGUGUACCUGCAUUUUUUUGCGUAU